rnacentral:rRNA from 1 species
UGGGGAAUAUUGGACAAUGGGCGCAAGCCUGAUCCAGCAAUGCCGCGUGUGUGAAGAAGGCCUGCGGGUUGUAAAGCACUUUCAGUGGGGAAGAAAGCGCUGGGGUUAAUACCCCCGGCUUCUGACGUUACCCACAGAAGAAGCACCGGCUAACUCCGUGCCAGCAGCCGCGGUAAUACGGAGGGUGCAAGCGUUAAUCGGAAUCACUGGGCGUAAAGCGCACGUAGGCGGCACGUUAAGUCAGGUGUGAAACCCCCGGGCUCAACCUGGGAAUGGCAUUUGAUACUGGCGUGCUCGAGUCUGAGAGAGGGAGGUGGAAUUCCAGGUGUAGCGGUGAAAUGCGUAGAUAUCUGGAGGAACACCGGUGGCGAAGGCGGCCUCCUGGCUCAUGACUGACGCUGAGGUGCGAAAGCGUGGGGAGCAAACAGG